UUUUGUUUUUGUCUCAUCCCAUUGCUCCUCAACCUGGGUCAGAUGGAGCAGCCUCUUCAGUAAGCACGAAACAUGCUCUCAUCAUGGAUGAAGUAGAUGGCAUGGCAGGCAAUGAGGAUAGGGGAGGAAUUCAGGAAUUAAUUGGCCUGAUAAAACAUACUAAAAUUCCCAUUAUUUGUAUGUGCAAUGAUAGAAAUCAUCCCAAGGUUCGCUCUCUGGUUCAUUAUUGUUUUGAUCUUCGUUUUCAAAGACCUCGGGUUGAACAGAUUAAGGGUGCUAUGAUGUCUAUUGCAUUUAAAGAAGGUUUAAAGAUUCCCCCUCCAGCUAUGAAUGAAAUAAUUUUGGGAGCCAAUCAAGAUAUCAGACAGGUUUUACAUAAUCUGAGUAUGUGGUGUGCACGAAGUAAAGCAUUAACCUAUGACCAGGCCAAAGCUGAUUCUCACAGAGCCAAAAAGGAUAUCAAAAUGGGCCCAUUUGAUGUUGCCCGGAAAGUGUUUGCAGCUGGAGAGGAGACUGCUCACAUGUCACUUAUGGACAAGUCAGAUCUCUUUUUUCAUGAUUAUUCA
rnacentral:sRNA from 1 species